rnacentral:rRNA from 1 species
GGACGAACGCUGGCGGCGUGCUUACCACAUGCAAGUCGAACGGAAAGGCCCUGCUUUUGUGGGGUGCUCGAGUGGCGAACGGGUGAGUAACACGUGAGUAACCUGCCCUUGACUUUGGGAUAACUUCAGGAAACUGGGGCUAAUACCGGAUAGGAGCUCCUGCUGCCUGGUGGGGGUUGGAAAGUUUCGGCGGUUGGGGAUGGACUCGCGGCUUAUCAGCUUGUUGGUGGGGUAGUGGCUUACCAAGGCUUUGACGGGUAGCCGGCCUGAGAGGGUGACCGGCCACAUUGGGACUGAGAUACGGCCCAGACUCCUACGGGAGGCAGCAGUGGGGAAUAUUGCACAAUGGGCGGAAGCCUGAUGCAGCAACGCCGCGUGCGGGAUGACGGCCUUCGGGUUGUAAACCGCUUUCGCCUGUGACGAAGCGUGAGUGACGGUAAUGGGUAAAGAAGCACCGGCUAACUACGUG